ACGAACGCUGGCGGCGUGCUUAACACCUGCAAGUCGUACGGUAAGGCCCUUUCGGGGGUACACGAGUGGCGAACGGGUGAGUAACACGUGAGUAACCUGCCCACAACUUUGGGAUAACGCUAGGAAACUGGUGCUAAUACUGGAUAUGUGCUCCUGCUGCAUGGUGGGGGUUGGAAAGCUCCGGCGGUUGUGGAUGGACUCGCGGCCUAUCAGCUUGUUGGUGGGGUAGUGGCCUACCAAGGCGGCGACGGGUAGCCGGCCUGAGAGGGUGACCGGCCACAUUGGGACUGAGAUACGGCCCAGACUCCUACGGGAGGCAGAAGUGGGGAAGAUUGCACAAGGGGCGCAAGCCGGAUGCAGCAACGCCGCGGGCGGGAUGACGGCCUUCGGGUUGUAAACCGCUUUCAGCAGGAACGAAGCUUUUUGUGACGGUACCUGCAGAAGAAGCACCGGCUAACUACGUG
rnacentral:rRNA from 1 species